rnacentral:lncRNA from 1 species
GACGUGUUCGUGUCAUCGAUUCGCAACUCGCAACGUUCAGGUUCUCGUCACGCAACAGCAAUUAAUUUACAAGAGGUCUAAAAAAUGAAGAGCAGUUGGAUCCAGAUUAGAAAAUGAUGAAGAGCAGUUGGCUCCGGAUUAAAGUUAAUCUACAUUGAUUGAUGGAGACGGGCAUUAUCCGGACAAAUCCAGAUUUUACCGAAAACCGGUGUUUAAGCAUUGCGUAUCCCCUUAACGUGAAUAAAUUCGCACCAGUUCGCGAGGGUUGAGCAAGAAAGGUUUCCCGUGUCUGGAAGAGAAUGUACUUCGAACGAUAACUAUUGAGAUGAUCGCGAGUUCACGUCACAGAAUACGUCGUCGCGACGUACGUAUAAGGAUGCUUCUCGACAUCGCGAAACGAGAUCGAGGGAAAGAAGCAAACUCCUGGUAAUGGUCGGGGAACGGUUGAAGGGAUGAGCUUCGAGGAAUAAGGUAAGGAUAAUCGAAGCAAUCGAACGGCGGUCGUGCCGUUCGUGGGAGUCGAGGGCGUUGGGCCGCGAAAUGAAUUCCACCCCUCGACGGAGGGUGGAAAAAAGAGGCACCCGUCGCGCCAGUCUCGCAUACUCGCGUAUUCGCUGCUCGUAUAUGCGCGAGAGUACACACACAUACAUACACAUACAUACACACACACACACACGCCGUUACCACCCGAGACGACCGGGGCUGCUGGGAGAAUGAUAACGCCGCGUUAGAACGAAGAUUUGUGAAUACAUUAGAGAAAAUGCGUGGGGUCCUCGGGGAGGGCGCGCGAAAGGGAGGACUGAGGAAUGGCAGGGUGAUUCGUUCCCGGAGGAAAACGCUCGGGAAUCCUCCUCCGCGCCGCUCGGGUAUUUAUCUUCCACCGAUCGCGUUGGGGUCGCGUCCCUGGAAAGUCAACGAACUUUGUUCUCUAUCUCCCUCACCCCUUCCCUUCUUCUCGGCGGCUCCAGAAUUGCGAGCAAUGUAAUUUUUUUUGUCAACGACUUCUCGCUCUCGGGCUUUCCCGCGGGAUUUUGUGCACCUCCACUCUCUGUACUGCGUUUCUAUUGAAUACCUUUGUGAGGAUCUUGUUUUUUUUUUUUUUUUUUUUUUUUCCCGAGAGAUGUAAUUCCACAAGUUGAAUGAUUUAUUACGUUUCAUCAUAGUAGUAGUUCGAUAAUAGCAGUAUUACACAAAUUAACAUUAUCAAUUCGAUAUUUAACUUUCAAAAGUUGAGUUGAAAUUGUGCGAUAACAUAAGUAUAAGAUAGAUGUUUUA